GGGUGCGUGGUCCAUUGGUUAAGAUUUCUGCCUUCCAUGAUUCGAAAGCAGAAGAAAGGGGUUCGAUUCCCCUCGCACUCA